rnacentral:rRNA from 1 species
AACGAACGCUGGCGGCAGGCUUAACACAUGCAAGUCGAGCGCACCGCAAGGUGAGCGGCAGACGGGUGAGUAACGCGUGGGAAUCUACCCAGUUCUGCGGAAUAACACAGGGAAACUUGUGCUAAUACCGUAUACGCCCUUUGGGGGAAAGAUUUAUCGGAGAUGGAUGAGCCCGCGUUGGAUUAGCUAGUUGGUGGGGUAAAGGCCUACCAAGGCGACGAUCCAUAGCUGGUCUGAGAGGAUGAUCAGCCACACUGGGACUGAGACACGGCCCAGACUCCUACGGGAGGCAGCAGUGGGGAAUAUUGGACAAUGGGCGCAAGCCUGAUCCAGCCAUGCCGCGUGAGUGAUGAAGGCCCUAGGGUUGUAAAGCUCUUUCACCGGUGAAGAUAAUGACGGUAACCGGAGAAGAAGCCCCGGCUAACUUCGUG